rnacentral:rRNA from 1 species
UACAGAGGGGGGCCAGCGUUUAUUCGGAAUUAUUGGGCGUAAAGGGCGCGUAGGCGCCAUGCGUGUCUUUCGUGAAAUCCCUCGGCUUAACUGAGGACGUGCGGAAGAAAACUGCAAGGGCUUGAGUCCGGGAGGAGGGGGGUGGAAUUCCCAGUGUAGCGGUGAAAUGCGUAGAUAUUGGGAGGAACACCGGUGGCGAAGGCGGCCCCCUGGACCGGUACUGACGCUGAGGCGCGAAAGCGUGGGUAGCAAA